CUACACAUUUUCCAUUACGUCACACGGAUAAUUCAGCCGGUGAAACUAAACUCACGUGGGUUAUGUAAAUACGGCGGGUUAACUACUACCACGUCAAUCUUUAGUUGCAGACACUUUUUUAGAUACAAUUACUUAUUAUUUAUUGAAAGUGAACGAUGCAUCGUGUUUAUCGCUCGAGGUGGCUUUUAUCCGGGGUGUCCUUGACAGUUGGCAUCGGUGUUGGUGCCGCUUUGACACGAGCUGGCGAUCGCCAUAAUAAAGCUCAAGACACGAGCAACGGACUUCUUGACCGUUUACCGAUCAUCCCUAUACCUAGCGUGAAUGCGGCAACAGAAAUCACUCCCUAUCAACCGGGACAGAUCGCUGUCAAUAAAUCCACAGCUGCCAUGAAGUACGGUUUCCCUUCACUGUCCAACAUCAAGUCCAGAGAGUCUUACGUGACCUCUUAUGACCCCAGAAACAGGACCGCGGCGUGGGUCAUCGAGCAGCUCAACGCUGAGACUUUAACCGGGACGUCGGACCGGAAGUUCUGCGAGUUUAAGGAAGACGAUUCGGUACAUGUUUACCACAGGUCGAGCAAUGCGGAUUAUAAAGGCAGCGGGUUUGACAGGGGUCACUUAGCUGCAGCUGCCAAUCACAAGUGGAGUCAGAAAGCCAUGGAUGACACAUUUUACCUGAGCAAUGUGUCACCACAGAAUCCUCAUCUAAACCAGAAUGCAUGGAAUAACCUGGAGAAAUAUUGUCGCUCUCUCACCAAGCAUUAUCACAAUGUAUUUGUCUGCACUGGACCACUUUACUUACCCCGACAAGAGCCUGAUGGGAAAAUGUACGUCAAGUAUCAAGUUUUGGGAAAGAAUCACGUUGCUGUGCCGACUCACUUUUUUAAGAUUUUGAUUCUGGAAAAGGCAAGAGGAGAUGUAGAGCUGCGGUCUUACGUGAUGCCCAACAUGCCCAUAGAUGAGAAGAUUCCACUGGAACGCUUCCUGGUCCCUAUUGAGAGCAUUGAGAGGGCAUCUGGACUGCUCUUUGUACCCAACAUCAUGAAGAGAACCAGCAGUCUGAAAGCUAUUACUGCAGGAUCAUGAUGAGUUUACAGUAAUUGAUUGGGUCUAAUAUUAAAAGUAAAAUACCUUGCUUUUUGCAAAUGCAAUUCACUGUCAAACAUUCAGGAUAGGAGUAUUUUUACACUCUUAAAGGGACAGUAAGUAGGGUUUUAAGUGUUUUAUUAGUCAAAAUCAAUGUCUUUAUUCAUAAAUAUGUCCUUGUUGGUGUCAAAUGACCUCUGCCAAUGAUCUGACUUUUCUUUGUAAGCUUAGAAUUUCUUCUCUUUACUUACAUUGAACAGGGUAAGUCCAAGGACGCUUCUAUGUCGUUCCGCCAUACUGAUAAACUAUAAUAGCAGACAGGGACAAAAAGCACUAGCCUACCAACGCGUUUUCAUUCAGAACACGUAAACCAGCUGAAGAUGGACAAGGAGAUCAGUGAUUACAUAACGGCUACCGUAGUUGCAACACGAAUUUGGAAAAGCGUGGCGCUAGAGAGCACUAUUCGUUUGAAUGCAAAAUACAAUUUCGCCACUAGAUGGUGGUAAAUCCUACUUAUUGUCCCUUUAAAAAAAUAAAGGUGCUUAAACGGUCCUUCACAUCAUUGCCAUAGAAGAACCAUUUUGGUUCCUCAAAGAACCAUCAGUCAAAAGUUCUUAAAAUAACGGUUUAUUUCAUAUCUUUUUAUAAUCUAAAGGAUCUUUUGUGAAACAGAAAGGUUCUUCAGAAGUUAAAGAUUAUUUAAGGAACCAUUCAGCCAAAAAUGGUUCUUGUACACUUUAAAAAAAGAAGAACGGGAUGAUAUAGCACCACUACAGUACCAAACAUGGUGCUACACAGGAGUGUAUGCAGAUCAGGACAUGUGAUAAAACUACUGAGACUGAUUGUGUCAGUUACUGGAGACCGUCUGCCAUUUCAAUGUCUAACAGCUAUAAUAUUUGAUAGAGGAGAUAAUGUAUCCUUUACCAGUGCUAUUUUGUAGGUUACAGUUAAAAGAUUUUCCUUAAAUUGUAAAUUUAUGAGUCAAAACUGAACUGACUGUGAAAUUUAAUUUAAACUGUGAAAUGUUGUUUGUACUGCUGAAAUAAAAAACAGCUUUAGUCAUA